CGGGCGGAGGAAGGAGAAGGAAAGGACCGGAAUCAGGUUUAUUUUUCUCCUGUCUCAUUUUUCCUGCAUUCUCCAAAUUCAAUUAUUCCUGGGUCGUCAAUUAAAUUAUUUCUACAAUACUGUAUCCGUCCACAGAAUGUUACGCAAUAUUCAUGCACGUUGCUUCAGCUACACAGAAUCCCUGGAAAAUAAAUGAGGGCGGGCAGGAGAACCUAAGAGAUCCAGUAAAAUAAGAAGGGGUUUACAAUAAGUCCUGUCAAAAUUGCCCCCAAGAUGAUGCUUUUGUUAUCACUUAAGAAACAGCAAUGUCUUCAUUCUCGUGGUUUGAAAUGAUUCCAUACCAUAUGAAGGAGGUCUCCCAGAGCCAUUUCUUGGAACAGUUCACCACGCAGGUUUGGAGGAAUUUUGAACUUGGACCCUGAAUCAAGUUGGCCUCAUUUGCAAUAGACUGAGCUGACGGGCCCCAGCUUCUGAGAUGCUGGCGUGUCACUAGUUCCCUCCAUUCAGUAACAGUAGCCAGACAGAGAACCAGAGAGUCCGUUACCGGUCAAGUCCUCAGUCGGUCUUCACUGAUGGCUCCCCAGGAGUUCUGCAGCCCCAACGCCCCUGGCACCGAGAAGAGGAAAGCAGCGGAUGGCCCUGGAAUCAGUGAUCCAGCCAAGAUGCAUCGCUGCAGGAGGAUAAACGGAUUGAAUCAGUAAUUUCUAUCUCUGCCUGUCCUGAUAGGAACCUGGGAGGGCAGAGGAGCAGGGGGAAGGGAAAAUCCACCAGCCUGGAGCAGGGAGGCAGGAGCUAAGCCCACCCUGAGAAGAAAACAAGAAAAACACCCACAUAAGGAGAUGAGGGCGGAAAGAAGAAAAGUGC
rnacentral:lncRNA from 1 species